rnacentral:rRNA from 1 species
GACGAACCACACAAACGUUAUUCGGAAUUACUGGGCUUAAAGGGUGCGUAGGCGGGCGGUCAAGUCAGGGGUGAAAUCUUUCAGCUCAACUGGAAAAGUGCCUUUGAUACUGAUCGUCUUGAGGGAGGUAGGGGCAUGUGGAACUUCCGGUGGAGCGGUGAAAUGCGUAGAUAUCGGAAGGAACGCCGGUGGCGAAAGCGACGUGCUGGACCUCUUCUGACGCUGAGGCGCGAAAGCUAGGGGAGCAAACGGG